CUUCGAGCUUUCGGUCCAGUGCCCGGCGAGGCAGACUGCGCUCGCUCGUCUCGCUCGGCUGCUGGCUGGCUGGCUGCUGUUGGGGCAAGACAAAGCAGUGGUUGUGCCCCGGGAUCUGUGGCCUCAGCACGGCAAAAAGUUCUCACACACAGUGAAAGAUCGGAAAGGAUGGAAAGAGAAUGAGAGUGGGGGAAACAACAAAGUUGGCUGACAUCGCUGGAGCAGGAACAGAUGAGGAGGAUGAGGAGUACCCCGCCGAAUAGCAACAGCAAAAUAUACAGGAUAGCCUCAGUCUUCCUUACUUCUAUGACAAGAGCAGCUUGGCAAAGGUAACACAUGACAACAGAAGGGGCUGAGGGCAGAGGCCCCUGUGUAUACACCAGCAGCUGGCUCUACUAUCCUGUUCCAAUGAUGCUGUUUACCAAAUACGGCGGAGAGAGGAACCUCUAAAGGUCAAACAGGGAUGCUGCAUCAUGUUAAAAUAAUGAACGUAGAAAUUAAAAGGUGACUUGACUCUCACGUUGUUGCCAUACACAGUUAGAGACUAAACCGGUUUAUUAAAGAGGAAGUCAAGUCCAAAAUUAUCUUUACAAUAAUAUGUUCUAUGCGGCCCUGUCAGUCUAAACACAGUAUUCUGAUUCAUAAUGUGUUUUGUAGACCAUGAAUUAAGAUGCAAAAUCCACCUGUUUUAACCAUCUCAUGGGGUGGCCAUUUUGCCACUUGCUGUUGACCGAAAAUGACAUUGCAGUGUCUAAUGGCUCAGCUAACAAACGUCACUUGACCAACCCAACCUCCCCCACCCAGAAAACAAGUGAGUCAUGAUUGAUCAUUCCCUGAGCCUUUCGGCACUGUGAUCACAUUUUCAAUUGACGGCAAGUGGCAGUACAAGGCAAAAUGGAUACCCUUUGAGAUGCAUGUGGUCAGCUGGAUUGCUGCUUAAUUCGUAUUCCACAAACGCAAUUUUA